rnacentral:rRNA from 1 species
UACGGAGGGGGCUAGCGUUGUUCGGAAUAACUGGGCGUAAAGCGCACGUAGGCGGACUUGUAAGUUGGGGGUGAAAGCCCAGGGCUCAACUCUGGAACUGCCUCCGAUACUGCAAGUCUCGAGUCCGGGAGAGGUGAGUGGAAUUCCUAGUGUAGAGGUGAAAUUCGUAGAUAUUAGGAAGAACACCAGUGGCGAAGGCGGCUCACUGGCCCGGUACUGACGCUGAGGUGCGAAAGCGUGGGGAGCAAACAGG